CAGCAGCCGCGGGAAUACGUAGGUGGCGAGCGUUGUCCGGAAUUAUUGGGCGUAAAGGGAGCGCAGGCGGACAUAUAAGUCCAUCUUAAAAGUGCGGGGCUCAACCCCGUGAGGGGAUGGAAACUGUAUGCCUUGAGUGCAGGAGAGGAAAGCGGAAUUCCCAGUGUAGCGGUGAAAUGCGUAGAUAUUAGGAAGAACACUAGUGGCGAAGGCGACUUUCUGGACGAAAACUGACGCUGAGGCGCGAAAGCCAGGGGAGCGAACGGGAUUAGAUACCCCCGUAGUCCCUGUCUCUUAUACA
rnacentral:rRNA from 1 species